rnacentral:tRNA from 1 species
GCCUGGGUGGCUCAGUCGGUUGAGCGUCCGACUUCAGCUCAGGUCACGAUCUCGCGGUUCGUGGGUUUGAGCCCCGCGUCGGGCU